UGGGGGAUAUUGCACAAUGGGCGAAAGCCUGAUGCAGCGACGCCGCGUGGGGGAUGAAGGCCUUCGGGUUGUAAACUUCUUUUGCUCUGAACAAGGCAUGCCUUUGGGGUGUGUUGAGUGUAGGGGUUGAUUAGCGCCGGCUAACUACGUGCCAGCAGCCGCGGUAAUACGUAGGGCGCGAGCGUUGUCCGGAAUUAUUGGGCGUAAAGGGCUUGUAGGUGGCUGGUUGCGUCUGUCGUGAAGGCUCAUGGCUUAACUGUGGGUUUGCGGUGGGUACGGGCUGGCUUGAGUGCAGUAGGGGAGGCUGGAAUUCCUGGUGUAGCGGUGGAAUGCGCAGAUAUCAGGAGGAAUACCGGUGGCGAAGGCGGGUCUCUGGGCUGUUACUGACGCUGAGGAGCGAAAGCGUGGGGAGCGAACAGG
rnacentral:rRNA from 1 species